ensembl:misc_RNA 7SK 7SK RNA
GGGUGUGAGGACGAUCUGGCUGCAAUACUUGCCCUCCCAUUGAUCACCAGGGUGGGUUUGGCUGAGCUGCAUGGCUAGACGGGCUUCCCCUUUCUGUCUCACUGCCUGGUAGGCAUCCCUCCCCAAACUGUGCACUGGAUUGAAGAUGAUGACCUCCUAUAGAGCUGGACUGUUCUUUGGUCAAGGACAUAAUAAUCCCAAGCCCUCGCUAGAAUCUCCAAACAAACCCCCAAGGUCCAUUAGUAGAACAAUGGAGGUGGUCAGACCUCCAAACAUCCAAUCGAGGUACGUUCACAAAUCGCGAUAUCUGAAUGUUAAGAAAGGAAGUGUUCAGUAUCUUGAGAUUUUUU